rnacentral:rRNA from 1 species
AUUGAACGCUGGCGGCAUGCCUUACACAUGCAAGUCGAACGGCAGCGCGGGAGCAAUCCUGGCGGCGAGUGGCGAACGGGUGAGUAAUACAUCGGAACGUGCCUAAUCGUGGGGGAUAACGCAGCGAAAGCUGUGCUAAUACCGCAUACGAUCUACGGAUGAAAGCAGGGGAUCGCAAGACCUUGCGCGAAUGGAGCGGCCGAUGGCAGAUUAGGUAGUUGGUGAGGUAAAGGCUCACCAAGCCUUCGAUCUGUAGCUGGUCUGAGAGGACGACCAGCCACACUGGGACUGAGACACGGCCCAGACUCCUACGGGAGGCAGCAGUGGGGAAUUUUGGACAAUGGGCGAAAGCCUGAUCCAGCCAUGCCGCGUGCAGGAUGAAGGCCUUCGGGUUGUAAACUGCUUUUGUACGGAACGAAACGGUCUUUUCUAAUAAAGAAGGCUAAUGACGGUACCGUAAGAAUAAGCACCGGCUAACUACGUG